UGCCAGCAGCCGCGGUAAAACGUAGGUGGCAAGCGUUGUCCGGAAUUACUGGGUGUAAAGGGAGCGCAGGCGGGAUGGCAAGUUGGAAGUGAAAACUAUGGGCUCAACCCAUAGAUUGCUUUCAAAACUGCUAUUCUUGAGUGGUGCAGAGGUAGGCGGAAUUCCCGGUGUAGCGGUGGAAUGCGUAGAUAUCGGGAGGAACACCAGUGGCGAAGGCGGCCUACUGGGCACUAACUGACGCUGAGGCUCGAAAGCAUGGGUAGCAAACAGGAUUAGAUA
rnacentral:rRNA from 1 species